rnacentral:rRNA from 1 species
UACGGGGGGGGCAAGCGUUGUUCGGAAUUACUGGGCGUAAAGGGCUCGUAGGCGGCCAACUAAGUCAGACGUGAAAUCCCUCGGCUUAACCGGGGAACUGCAUCUGAUACUGGAUGGCUUGAGUUCGGGAGAGGGAUGCGGAAUUCCAGGUGUAGCGGUGAAAUGCGUAGAUAUCUGGAGGAACACCGGUGGCGAAGGCGGCAUCCUGGACCGGCACUGACGCUGAGGCGCGAAAGCGUGGGGAGCAAACAGGG